GCCCGCAUAGCUCAGUUGGUAGAGCACCAGACUUUUAAUCUGAGGGUUACAGGCU
rnacentral:tRNA from 1 species